rnacentral:lncRNA from 13 species
GAUGUGAUUGUGUGUGUGUGUGCUCUCCAUGGAGAUGGGAUGUGAUUGUGUGUGUGUGUGCUCUCCGUGGAGAUGGGGUGUGAUUGUGUGUGUGUGCUCUCCAUGGAGAUGGGGUGUGAUUGUGUGUGUGUGUGCUCUCCAUGGAGAUGGGAUGCGCAGACCGACUGACUGACAUUUCUCUAGCGGAGUUCUGAUCAGGUAGACUGAUGAGGGGACUUCAUGGAAUACAUCUCACCAUUCACACUGAUUACUCUUGGAGUGGAGCGGCUCUUAUCAGACCUGGGUUCAAAUACUAAUUGAAAUCCUUUCAGAUUCUUUGUCUGGGCAUGAUUGAGCUUGCCUGGCGCUAUGGAACCAAUAGAAUAGUUAUAGGUAAAUAUGCCAAUCCCACCCAUCUGGCAUUCCAGGCAGCCUUAAGCAACGCUACUAUACUUUGAAAGAUUUCUCACAGUAGUUAAAGUGAAUCCAGGUCUACUGGGGAGUGUACUUCAAGGAAUAGAUUUCACCCUUUGGACACAUUAGUCUGAGAAAAAGUUAGUAUUAUUAAUUGCAACUGACUGGUGAGAAAGCCACACACACACACACACACACACACACACUCUCUUUCUUCCUUAUUUGACUUGAACAGACCAGACAUGUUGCACUUUCUUUCAAUUAUUUAAUUAAAUGUCACUUUCCAUCCUUCCUGGCCCUUUUUAUUUAGAACAUCACAUUUGGUGUGACCAUUGGACAUUUCUCAGAAAGACUCACUCACAAUUUGAACAGAUUAGUAGAGCACUUCCGCAGUCAAUUUUGUUGUUCAACCUUGUAAUGCUAUGAAAGCUUUUAACUAGGGAAGAAGGGGGGGGGGGAGAGAGGGAGAGACUCUCUUGGGGCCCAGGAAGUAUUGUCUAGUAGAGUACUGUAUCAUGUCCAGGACUAGUGUGUGUUUUGAUGGAGGAGAAAGGAAUUCAAAAUGGAAGGAACCUUGAAUGCUGGAAAUAGUGUCUUUGUUAGUACUGUGGGAAAUAGUGUCCUUGUUAGUACUGUGGGAAAUAGUGUCCUUGCUAGUACUGUGGGAAAUAGUGUCCUUGUUGGUACUGUGGGAACUAGUGUCCUUGUUAGUACUGUGGGAACUAGUGUCCUUGUUAGUACUGUGGGAAAUAGUGUCAUUGUUACUACUGUGGGAAAUAGUGUCCUUGUUAGUACUGUGGGAAAUAGUGUCCUUGUUAGUACUGUGGGAAAUAGUGUCCUUGUUAGUACUGUGGGAAAUAGUGUCCUUGUUAGUACUGUGGGAAAUAGUGUCCUUGUUAGUACUGUGGGAAAUAGUGUCCUU